rnacentral:rRNA from 1 species
CNNUCGAGCGGAACGAUGUAGCUUGCUACAGGCGUCGAGCGGCGGACGGGUGAGUAACGCGUAGGAAUCUGCCUAGUAGUGGGGGACAACAUGUGGAAACGCAUGCUAAUACCGCAUAAGCCCUACGGGGGAAAGGAGGGGAUCUUCGGACCUUUCGCUAUUAGAUGAGCCUGCGUGAGAUUAGCUUGUUGGUGAGGUAAAGGCUCACCAAGGCGACGAUCUCUAGCUGGUCUGAGAGGAUGACCAGCCACACUGGGACUGAGACACGGCCCAGACUCCUACGGGAGGCAGCAGUGGGGAAUAUUGGACAAUGGGCGCAAGCCUGAUCCAGCCAUGCCGCGUGUGUGAAGAAGGCCUUAGGGUUGUAAAGCACUUUCAGAGGGGAGGAAAGGUUAUUGAUUAAUACUCAAUAGCUGUGACGUUACCCUCAGAAGAAGCACCGGCUAACUCUGUGCCAGCAGCCGCGGUAAUACAGAGGGUGCAAGCGUUAAUCGGAAUUACUGGGCGUAAAGCGCGCGUAGGUGGUUUGUUAAGUCGGAUGUGAAAGCCCAGGGCUCAACCUUGGAAUGGCACCCGAUACUGGCANGCUAGAGUACGAUAGANGAGUGUGGAAUUUCCUGUGUAGCGGUGAAAUGCGUANAUAUNNNAAGGAACAUCAGUGGCGANNGCGACACUCUGGAUUGNUACUGACACUG